GCUUGGGUGGCUUAGUUGGUCAAGCAUCUGACUUCUACUCAGGUCAUGAUCUCAUGGUUUAUGGGUUCGAGCCCCACGUCAGGCU
rnacentral:tRNA from 1 species